AGAGUUUGAUCCUGGCUCAGAAUCAACGCUGGCGGCGUGCCUAACACAUGCAAGUCGAACGCGGUUAGUAGCAAUACUAACUGAGUGGCGAACGGGUGAGUAACACGUGGGUGACCUACCUUCGAGUGGGGGAUAACGUCCCGAAAGGGACGCUAAUACCGCAUAACAUCCUGCCUUUGAACAGGCGGUGAUCAAAGCCGGGGACCGUAAGGCCCGGCGCUUGAUGAGGGGCCCGCGUCUGAUUAGCUAGUUGGUGAGGUAAUGGCCCACCAAGGCGACGAUCAGUAUCCGGCCUGAGAGGGCGGACGGACACACUGGGACUGAGACACGGCCCAGACUCCUACGGGAGGCAGCAGUGGGGAAUUGUUCACAAUGGGCGCAAGCCUGAUGACGCAACGCCGCGUGGAGGAUGAAGGUCUUCGGAUUGUAAACUCCUGUUGCCCGGGACGAAAAGCUCUGACCUAACACGUCGGAGUCUGACGGUACUGGGUGAGGAAGCCCCGGCUAACUCUGUGCCAGCCGCCGCGGUAAUAC
rnacentral:rRNA from 1 species